GCGGGCAUAGUAUACCGGCUAUUAUGUGUGCUUCCCAAGCAUGAGAAGAGGGUUCGACUCCCUCUGCCCGCACCA
rnacentral:tRNA from 1 species